GACUCUUUAUCAUUGUUGGUAGUUGGUGGUAUAAAUCAGUGAAGUAUGGUAGCACUAAUAUAUUAAUUCAGACGAGUAAACUGUACUUCCACCUCUGCCCAGAGCCAAGACAAUGCCUGUACUAAGAGUGCUGAUGAUCCUAGCUACAGCAGUUGAGUUCUCUCCCAGUAAUCAGGCCGGAGUGAAGAACAGACCCAGUGAUGAUAUAUUCU